CAGUCGCCACGGUAAGACAGAGGAUGCAAGCGUUAUCCGGAAUGAUUGGGCGUAAAGCGUCUGUAGGUGGCUUUUCAAGUCCGCCAUCAAAUCCCAAGGCUCAACCCUGGACAGGCGGUGGAAAAUACCAAGCUGGAGUACGGUAGGGGCAGAGGGAAUUUCCGGCGGAGCGGUGAAAUGCGUUGAGAUUGGAAAGAACACCAACGGUGAAAGCACUCUGCUGGCCCGACACUGACACUGAGAGACGAAAGCUAGGGGAGCAAAUGGGAUUAGAUACCCCCGUAGUCCCUGUCUCUUAUAA
rnacentral:rRNA from 1 species